UGGAGCUGGUGCUGGAACCUGCGCAGAG
rnacentral:piRNA from 1 species